rnacentral:rRNA from 1 species
GACGAACCGUGCGAACGUUGUUCGGAAUCACUGGGCUUAAAGGGCGCGUAGGCGGCUUACCAAGUCAGGGGUGAAAGCUUUCGGCUCAACCGGAAAAGUGCCUUUGAUACUGGUAAGCUAGAGGGAGGUAGGGGCAGAUGGAACUUCCGGUGGAGCGGUGAAAUGUGUUGAUAUCGGAAGGAACGCCGGUGGCGAAAGCGAUCUGCUGGACCUCUUCUGACGAUGAGGCGCGAAAGUUAGGGUAGCGAACGGG